AUGGUGGGGAGCGAACCAGGAUUAGAUUUCUGGUUGUCCACCCAGUAAACGAAGAGGGAUAAAGGUUAGGGGGUUUCCCCCCCCUUAGUGCAGCAGUUAACGCAUUAAUCACUCCGCGUGGGGAGUACGGUCGCAAGUUGAAACUCAAAGGAAUUGUCGGGGGCCCGCACAAGCGGUGGAGCAUGUGGUUUAAUUUGAAGCAACGCGAAGAACCUUACCAGGUCUCGACAUCCUCUGACAAUCCUAGAGAUAGGACGUCCCCUUCGGGGGCAGAGUGACAGGUGGUGCAUGGUUGUCGUCAGCUCGUGUCGUGAGAUGUUGGGUUAAGUCCCGCAACGAGCGCAACCCUUGAUCUUAGUUGCCAGCAUUCAGUUGGGCACUCUAAGGUGACUGCCGGUGACAAACCGGAGGAAGGUGGGGAUGACGUCAAAUCAUCAUGCCCCUUAUGACCUGGGCUACACACGUGUUACAAUGGACAGAACAAAGGGCAGCGAAACCGCGAGGUUAAGCCAAUCCCACAAAUCUGUUCUCAGUUCGGAUCGCAGUCUGCAACUCGACUGCGUGAAGCUGGAAUCGCUAGUAAUCGCGGAUCAGCAUGCCGCGGUGAAUACGUUCCCGGGCCUUGUACACACCGCCCGUCACCCCACGAGAGUUUGUAACACCCGAAGUCGGUGAGGUAACCUUUUAGGAGCCAGCCGCCGAAAGGGGGUCC
rnacentral:rRNA from 1 species